rnacentral:lncRNA from 1 species
UGUCAGUAUUUGAUUUUAAGUCCUCGGAGAUUUCUACCUUAAGUGGUCUUUGAAAUGGUAUCCAGAAGUACACCUGCAAGGAGGACAAGCUUUAUGUUGGUGCAAAAGGAUUGUAAAGGGGCGUUUGGUAUGGGAUGAUUAUCCCAAGAUCAAGGGUGAUAUGUGUGGAGGUGAUGAGAUCGCCGCGUUUGGUUACACCACAAUAAUUCUAUGUGGUG